GGUGUCGGGGUUGGGGUCUGUGUGCCGGUGGG
rnacentral:piRNA from 1 species